AGUGGGAUAACUGGGUCAAAUUUCAAGUUUUCUGAGGAAUCUCCAUACUGCUUUCCAGAGUGUUUGCACCAAUUUGCAAUCCCACUAGCAAU
rnacentral:pre_miRNA from 1 species